AGAAGAUCACCAGAGGCAGCAGCACUGUGGUGCCUGGAGGCAAAAGGCAGAUCUGAGGAGAGGGGAGGCAGGACGGGCAGGGCUGGCUGGCUAAAAGAAGAGACCGCACAGGUGAAUAGGGGCCCUCCCAUAAGAGGAAGGGGUGGGAGAGAAAACUCCACACAUCUGUAAAUUCUUUGCUUUACGAACAUUUUAGCUCUCUCCUGAUAUAAUGGAAAUUAAACCUCUUCUGACACAGAGGAAUGAAACAGAA